rnacentral:lncRNA from 1 species
ACAAAACUUGUUUAAUUAAACAGCGAAACUGUCGCGAAAAUCAGGCUUGUUUCCAUAGCGAUGAUGAAAAUUACGUCAUUUAGGCUGUAACGAUCUCCAAAAUUCUAAUCAUUAUGUCGUCACGUCGUUGAUAUAGCAACGGACGCUAAUAUCGAAUCCCGUUAUGACGUAGUGUAGGAAAGUAUUUGGCCUGGGGACAUUAUUUGGAAUGACAGGCCCAAGGUGGCUUUAGAGCCAGUACCUGUCUUGGAUUCUCAGCUGCUGGUGUCGCCUAUCUUCCCCAUUAUGUUCUCUGUCUGUCUGUUGCCAGUUUGUCGUGUUUGUUAAGUCAACCAGCGUUUUAGGUCUCAGCUCAUGCUUUUCCCUGUUACGGCUGUUGAAAGGAGGGGACCAAAGCGCAGCGUGAUGCACAAUCGAGAGCAUCCUGUCGGGCUGUAUCACCGCCUGGUACGGCAACUGCUCCGCCCAUAACCGGAAGGCUCUCCAGAGGGUACUGAGGUCUGCACAACGCAUCACCCUCCAGGACACCUACACCACCCGAUGUCACAGGAAGGCCAAAAAGAUCAAGGACAACAACCACCCGAGCCACUGCCUGUUCACCCCGCUAUCAUCCAGAAGGCUAGGUUAAAUUGCUUGAAUAUUAGUCCAUGACAAAUUGUGUGGAAAACAAAACAUUCCUCUCACAGCAGCCGCCCUACAGCAGCGGCCCUACAGCAGCCGUCCUACAGCAGCCGUCCUACAGCAGCGGCCCUACAGCAGCCGUCCUACAGCAGCCGUCCUACAGCAGCGGCCCUACAGCAGCGGCCCUACAGCAGCCGUCCUACAGCAGCGGCCCUACAGCAGCGGCCCUACAGCAGCCGUCCUACAGCAGCGGCCCUACAGCAGCCGCCCUACAGCAGCCGCCCUACAGCAGCGGCCCUACAGCAGCCGCCCUACAGCAGCGGCCCUACAGCAGGCCCACAGCAGCGGCCCUACAGCAGCGGCCCUACAGCAGCGGCCCUACAGCAGCCGUCCUACAGCAGCGGCCCUACAGCAGCGGCCCUACAGCAGCCGCCCUACAGCAGCCGUCCUACAGCAGCGGCCCUACAGCAGCGGCCCUACAGCAGCCGCCCA